GAGCACACAUCUGAAAAAUAGUAUAUCUGCCUUUUAUUUUAGUCCCCAAAGCUAACUUUAAAUGUUACAGAUGUUUAAAUGGAACAGAAAAGAUAAAGAUCCUGAUUUGCUUCUGCUUCAGCAGAUAUUUGAAAACCUACAAGAAGCACAGUGGUAAGUAAAACACCUCUUUCUCUGACCAAGUUACUCCCAUUUGGCUUCUUUGAAAGAUAAAAGAGGAAAAACUUGAAGUCUUUCACUCUAGUUGAAAAAUAAAUAAAUAAAAAAUAAAAAAUCAUCUUGAACAUAUUACCAAAUUUGAGCAAAGACAAGGGCUCAUUCAAGCCCGACGCCUACUUUUUAGCAUAUUCAUAGGCAUGUCUCAUUGAUAGGCUUCCACCCUGAAGCUCACAUUCCCUUUCUCCAACAUCCUCUGCGCCAAGUACUUCUGCAGGCAUUAACAGCUCAACAUGAUUUAAUUACAGAAUUCAACAUCAAAACAUUUCUCAAAUCUUUUCCCAAAAA